rnacentral:lncRNA from 1 species
AUAUAUUUCUCGAGUCCCGUUGCAUGGACCAGUCGACUCCCAAGAUCUCACGAUGGUGUCUAAAACUCUGACUCUGCUGCUGUCCGUCAUUGUUCUCUUGGCUGCUGCCAUGGCUAGCCCUGUGCCUGAGCCUGGCUAUGGUGGUCACGGCGGGCAUGGUGGAUAUGGCCAUGGUGGAUGGUGGCCACGGUGGACACGGUGGGUAUGGCCAUGGUGGACACGGUGGGUAUGGCCAUGGUGGACACGGAGGAUAUGGCCAUGGUGGACACGGAGGUCAUGGCCAUGGCGGAUAUGGUUACGGACGAUAGUGUAGAACCUACAAUGGCACGAUGAAAUGUGAGAGGUCCGAUUAGUUAGGAAAUGCGGUGUUGGUAUAAAGUUAUAAUGUCAUCUAGUCAGCCUUAACAAUGCUUAUCGCAUUAACCCACACUGUACGAUUUUGCCAUCAGCCAUCUAAAGCAAAUGUUUAGACUUUCCUUUGGUCAUACAGUAUUAUUCAAUAAAAAUAUGUUUGGUAU